AAUGUACUUCCUCUGUCCGAAAAUACUUACCAUCAAAAUUGACAAAAAGUAAUGUAUCCAGAACAAAAAUACAUCUAAAUACAUCCCAUUUUAUUCAUUUUGAUGACAAAUAUUUCUGGAUGGACGGAGGGAGUAGAUU
rfam:Triticum aestivum genome assembly, contig: Triticum_aestivum_CS42_TGACv1_scaffold_228260_3B